rnacentral:rRNA from 1 species
GAAUAUUGGUCAAUGGAGGCAACUCUGAACCAGCCAAGUCGCGUGAAGGAUGACUGCCCUAUGGGUUGUAAACUUCUUUUUUAAGGGAAUAAAUUUAGCUACGUGUAGCUAAUUGCAUGUACCUUACGAAUAAGGAUCGGCUAACUCCGUUCCAGCAGCCGCGGUAAUACGGAGGAUCCGAGCGUUAUCCGGAUUUAUUGGGUUUAAAGGGUGCGCAGGCGGGGGAUUAAGUCGGCGGUGAAAGUUUGCAGCUUAACUGUAAAAUUGCCGUUGAUACUGGUUCUCUUGAGUGUAUAUGAAGUAGGCGGAAUUUGUGGUGUAGCGGUGAAAUGCAUAGAUAUCACAAGGAACUCCGAUUGCGAAGGCAGCUUACUAAAAUACAACUGACGCUCAGGCACGAAGGCGUGGGUAUCAAACA